rnacentral:rRNA from 1 species
CUAACAAGGAUUCCCCUAGUAACUGCGAGUGAAGAGGGAAGAGCUCAAAUUUGUAAUCUGGCGGUCCACGACCGUCCGAGUUGUAGUCUGGAGAAGCGUCUUCCGUGCCGGACCGUGUACAAGUCCUUUGGAACAGGGCGUCAUAGAGGGUGAGAAUCCCGUCUCUGACACGGACUACCGGUGCUCUGUGAUGCGCUCUCGAAGAGUCGAGUUGUUUGGGAAUGCAGCUCAAAAUGGGUGGUAAAUUCCAUCUAAAGCUAAAUACGGGCGAAAGACCGAUAGCGAACAAGUACCGUGAGGGAAAGAUGAAAAGCACUUUGGAAAGAGAGUUAAAUAGGACGUGAAAUUGUUGAAAGGGAAACGCUUGGAGUCAGUCGCGUCUUCCGGGGUCCAGCCGGUGGUUUAAGUUCUUUAAACACCCGGUGCACUCCUCGGUGUGACGGGCCAGCAUCGAUUUCGACCGUCGGAGAAAGGCUCUGGGAAUGUGGCACCCUUCACGGGGUGUGUUAUAGCCCUCUGUCGUAUGCGACGGUGUUUCGGGAUCGAGGACCGCAGCGCGCCCUUCACCGGGCCGGGGUUCGCCCACGUAACGCGCUUAGGAUGCUGGCGUAAUGGCUCUAAGCGACCCGUCUU